UUUUAAAAAAAAAAAAAAAAAUCGCUAUAAAGGAGAGAGAAAAAGUAAGAGUUUACCUACUCCCAAAGAGCUGACUUCUACAAUCAAACCUCUCUGAUGUCGUCUUCAUGCUUCUUCUUCACUGAGGUAGUGUUGUCUUCUGCAGAAGUGGCAUCAUGUAUUAAAUCAUUGCGUAAAUUAGUCAUUGGCUAGUGUUCGGUGAAGAAGUUGGUUGAGUCUCUUAGUGGCUU